rnacentral:rRNA from 1 species
ACUCCUACGGGAGGCAGCAGUGGGGAAUAUUGCACAAUGGGGGAAACCCUGAUGCAGCCAUGCCGCGUGUGUGAAGAAGGCCUUCGGGUUGUAAAGCACUUUCAGUAGGGAGGAAGGUAGUGUAGUUAAACACCUGCACUUAUUUGACGUUACCUACAGAAGAAGCACCGGCUAACUCCUGCCAGCAGCCGCGGUAAUACGGAGGGUGCGAGCGUUAAUCGGAAUUACUGGGCGUAAAGCGCAUGCAGGCGGCCUGUUAAGUCAGAUGUGAAAG